GAUGAACGCUGGCGGCGUGCCUAAUACAUGCAAGUCGAGCGAACGGACGAGAAGCUUGCUUUUCUGAUGUUAGCGGCGGACGGGUGAGUAACACGUGGAUAACCUACCUAUAAGACUGGGAUAACUUCGGGAAACCGGAGCUAAUACCGGAUAAUAUUUUGAACCGCAUGGUUCAAAAGUGAAAGACGGUCUUGCUGUCACUUAUAGAUGGAUCCGCGCUGCAUUAGCUAGUUGGUAAGGUAACGGCUUACCAAGGCAACGAUGCAUAGCCGACCUGAGAGGGUGAUCGGCCACACUGGAACUGAGACACGGUCCAGACUCCUACGGGAGGCAGCAGUAGGGAAUCUUCCGCAAUGGGCGGAAGCCUGACGGAGCAACGCCGCGUAAGUGAUGAAGGUCUUCGGAUCGUAAAACUCUGUUAUUAGGGAAGAACAUAUGUGUAAGUAACUGUGCACAUCUUGACGGCACCUAAUCAGAAAGCCACGGCUAACUACGUG
rnacentral:rRNA from 1 species